GACGAACGCUGGCGGCGUGCCUAAUACAUGCAAGUAGAACGCUGAAGGAGGAGCUUGCUUCUCUGGAUGAGUUGCGAACGGGUGAGUAACGCGUAGGUAACCUGCCUGGUAGCGGGGGAUAACUAUUGGAAACGAUAGCUAAUACCGCAUAAUAGCAGUUAUUGCAUGAUAACUGUUUGAAAGGUGCAAUUGCACCACUACCAGAUGGACCUGCGUUGUAUUAGCUAGUUGGUGGGGUAACGGCUCACCAAGGCGACGAUACAUAGCCGACCUGAGAGGGUGAUCGGCCACACUGGGAAUGAGACACGGCCCAGACUCCUACGGGAGGCAGCAGUAGGGAAUCUUCGGCAAUGGACGGAAGUCUGACCGAGCAACGCCGCGUGAGUGAAGAAGGUUUUCGGAUCGUAAAGCUCUGUUGUAAGAGAAGAACGAGUGUGAGAGUGGAAAGUUCACACUGUGACGGUAUCUUACCAGAAAGGGACGGCUAACUACGUG
rnacentral:rRNA from 1 species